rnacentral:rRNA from 1 species
GACGAACGCUGGCGGCGUGCUUAACACAUGCCAGUCGAACGGAAAGGCCCUGCUUUUGUGGGGUGCUCGAGUGGCGAACGGGUGAGUAACACGUGAGUAUCCUGCCCUUGACUUUGGGAUAACUUCAGGAAACUGGGGCUAAUACCGGAUAGGAGCUCCUGCUGCAUGGUGGGGGUUGGAAAGUUUCGGCGGUUGGGGCUGGACUCGCGGCUUAUCAGCUUGUUGGUGGGGUAGUGGCUUACCAAGGCUUUGACGGGUAGCCGGCCUGAGAGGGUGACCGGCCACAUUGGGACUGAGAUACGGCCCAGACUGCUACGGGAGGCAGCAGUGGGGAAUAUUGCACAAUGGGCGGAAGCCUGAUGCAGCAACGCCGCGUGCGGGAUGACGGCCUUCGGGUUGUAAACCGCUUUCGCCUGUGACGAAGCGUGAGUGACGGUAAUGGGUAAAGAAGCACCGGCUAACUACGUG